rnacentral:rRNA from 1 species
UGCGAAGGGGGCGAGCGUUGUUCGGAUUUACUGGGCGUAAAGGGCGCGUGGACGGUCAGCACAAGUCAGUUGUGAAAUCUCCGGGCUUAACUCGGAAAGGUCAACUGAUACUGUGCGACUAGAGUGCAGAAGGGGCAACUGGAAUUCUCGGUGUAGCGGUGAAAUGCGUAGAUAUCGAGAGGAACACCUGCGGCGAAGGCGGGUUGCUGGGCUGACACUGACGCUGAUGCGCGAAAGCCAGGGGAGCGAACGGG